rnacentral:rRNA from 1 species
UACUAGAGUAGCACUCGCAUAUCAAUAAGCGGAGGAAAAGAAACUAACAAGGAUUCCCCUAGUAACGGCGAGUGAAGCGGGAAGAGCUCAAAUUUGAAAUCUUAAAGGGUUUCCCUUUACGAAUUGUAGUUUAAAGAAGUGUUUUCUGUUGAGGUUUUGGUAAAAGUUCUUUGGAAUAGGACAUCAUAGAGGGUGAGAAUCCCGUAUUUGACCUUUACUUUCAACUUUGUGAUACACUUUCAAAGAGUCGGAUUGUUUGGGAAUGCAGUCCAAAAUGGGUGGUAAAUUUCAUCUAAAGCUAAAUAUUGGCGAGAGACCGAUAGCGAACAAGUACCGUGAGGGAAAGAUGAAAAGAACUUUGAAAAGAGAGUUAAACAGUACGUGAAAUCGUCAAAAGGGAAGCGUUUGACACCAGUGUUGUUUUUCUGAAAAUCAAUUAAAGAACCGUUUAUGCUAAGUUGUUUAGACUUUAUCAGCUAACUGUUUAGUUUUGAGCUUUUCUUUAAUGCACUUUUCAGUUAACAAGUCAACAUCAAUUUCUUUUGCUGUAAAAAAGCUUGAGGAAGGUGGCUUGAGAUUCGUCUUAAGUGUUUAUAGCCUCUUGCCUAUGCAGUCGGAGAGAUUGAGGUCUGCAGCGUAGAUCCUUCGGGGCUAAAUGCAUUUGUGCUAAGUUAUAGCAUUUUAUAGACAACUUGUUGACUAUGAUUUGUCUUGUAGCUUACUCGCUUAUGUUAUUUUACCUACGCUUAGGAUGUUGAACUACUGAGACAUAGA